rnacentral:rRNA from 1 species
UACAGAGGGGGCAAGCGUUGUUCGGAAUUACUGGGCGUAAAGCGCGUGUAGGCUGUUCGGCAAGUCGGAUGUGAAAGCCCUGGGCUCAACUCAGGAAGUGCAUUCGAAACUGCCGAGCUGGAGUCCUGGAGAGGAAGGCGGAAUUCUCGGUGUAGAGGUGAAAUUCGUAGAUAUCGAGAGGAACACCGGUGGCGAAGGCGGCCUUCUGGACAGUGACUGACGCUGAGACGCGAAAGCGUGGGGAGCAAACAGG